rnacentral:tRNA from 1 species
AGGUCACAGCACUACGGUGCCGCUAAGACCACGCGCCCUCCGGAGGCGGGAGCGCAGGUUCGAAUCCUGCCGGGG